rnacentral:rRNA from 1 species
UACGUAGGGGGCUAGCGUUGUCCGGAAUCAUUGGGCGUAAAGCGCGCGUAGGCGGCCCGGUAAGUCCGCUGUGAAAGUCGGGGGCUCAACCCUCGAAUGCCGGUGGAAACUGUCUGGCUAGAGUCCGGAAGAGGAGAAUGGAAUUCCUGGUGUAGCGGUGAAAUGCGCAGAUAUCAGGAAGAACACCCGUGGCGAAGGCGGUUCUCUGGGACGGUACUGACGCUGAGACGCGAAAGCGUGGGGAGCGAACAGG